UUUCGAUAGCGUAAAAGUUGACUCAAAUUUGUAUGCAGUUAGAACGUUUGCCUUCGUUUGCCGCUAGGGGCGCUGUUCCAACUACAUACAAAUUCGCGUUAACUUUAACGCUAUCGA
rnacentral:pre_miRNA from 9 species